AGAGAUGGUAGAUAAAUUUUAUCCACAUAUGUAAAAACCAUAAUGGAAACAACAUUGCAAACUAAGUUAUAUAUUUAAAAAAUAAUUAUUUUCCGAGUUCUUGAAUGUAAUGAACUAUACAGAGUAUCGUAAGUUAAAGCAUGAAUAAUUCCACGACGACGAGCGCUAUAAUCUUCGAAGAUCUCCUCUGGAGUCUGGGGCUUGAAGAAAUUGAAGCAUACAAAUUAUGGAAUCUAAAAUCUAUUGAGUAAUUAUUAAUAGAUUAUUCCGUGGAUUGAAGGAAUUGUGCGGUUAGGUUUCCCUGAUGGUGAUGAGUAGCGGCCCAGAGGGAAAGGGAAGAAUGUAGAAAAUAAUGAAUAGAAGAGGACAACAAAGCUUUCAAAUUUGUUUUUUUAAAGCGGAAGCAAU
rnacentral:lncRNA from 1 species